GGUUAAGCGACUAAGCGUACACGGUGGAUGCCCUGGCAGUCAGAGGCGAUGAAGGGCGUGCUAAUCUGCGAUAAGCGCCGGUAAGGUGAUAUGAACCGUUAUAACCGGCGAUACCCGAAUGGGGAAACCCAGUGUGACUCGUCACACUAUCAUUAACUGAAUCCAUAGGUUAAUGAGGCGAACCGGGGGAACUGAAACAUCUAAGUACCCCGAGGAAAAGAAAUCAACCGAGAUUCCCCCAGUAGCGGCGAGCGAACGGGGAGGAGCCCAGAGCCUGAAUCAGCAUGUGUGUUAGUGGAAGCGUCUGGAAAGGCGCGCGAUACAGGGUGACAGCCCCGUACACAAAAGCGCAUGUGCUGUGAGCUCGAUGAGUAGGGCGGGACACGUGGUAUCCUGUCUGAAUAUGGGGGGACCAUCCUCCAAGGCUAAAUACUCCUGACUGACCGAUAGUGAACCAGUACCGUGAGGGAAAGGCGAAAAGAACCCCGGCGAGGGGAGUGAAAAAGAACCUGAAAACCGUGUACGUACAAGCAGUGGGAGCCCCACCACCAAAGCAUUCUCUGGUGUUGAAGGCCCUGCAAAGCAGCAUCGCGGUGGCGGAGCGUCGUUUGCGACGCCCAACACACAAAACAAGCGGUGAAUGCUUUGGGGUGGGGUGACUGCGUACCUUUUGUAUAAUGGGUCAGCGACUUAUAUUCUGUAGCAAGGUUAACCGAAUAGGGGAGCCGGAGGGAAACCGAGUCUUAAUUGGGCGUUAAGUUGCAGGGUAUAGACCCGAAACCCGGUGAUCUAGCCAUGGGCAGGUUGAAGGUUGGGUAACACUAACUGGAGGACCGAACCGACUAAUGUUGAAAAAUUAGCGGAUGACCUGUGGCUGGGGGUGAAAGGCCAAUCAAACCGGGAGAUAGCUGGUUCUCCCCGAAAGCUAUUUAGGUAGCGCCUCGUGAAUUCAUCUCCGGGGGUAGAGCACUGUUUCGGCUAGGGGGCCAUCCCGGCUUACCAACCCGAUGCAAACUGCGAAUACCGGAGAAUGUUAUCACGGGAGACACACGGCGGGUGCUAACGUCCGUCGUGAAGAGGGAAACAACCCAGACCGCCAGCUAAGGUCCCAAAGUCAUGGUUAAGUGGGAAACGAUGUGGGAAGGCCCAGACAGCCAGGAUGUUGGCUUAGAAGCAGCCAUCAUUUAAAGAAAGCGUAAUAGCUCACUGGUCGAGUCGGCCUGCGCGGAAGAUGUAACGGGGCUAAACCAUGCACCGAAGCUGCGGCAGCGACGCUGAUGCGUUGUUGGGUAGGGGAGCGUUCUGUAAGCCUGCGAAGGUGACCUGUGAGGGUUGCUGGAGGUAUCAGAAGUGCGAAUGCUGACAUAAGUAACGAUAAAGCGGGUGAAAAGCCCGCUCGCCGGAAGACCAAGGGUUCCUGUCCAACGUUAAUCGGGGCAGGGUGAGUCGACCCCUAAGGCGAGGCCGAAAGGCGUAGUCGAUGGGAAACGGGUUAAUAUUCCCGUACUUGGUGUUACUGCGAAGGGGGACGGAGAAGGCUAUGUUGGCCGGGCGACGGUUGUCCCGGUUUAAGCGUGUAGGUGUGUGUUCCAGGUAAAUCCGGUUCACUUUAACACUGAGGCGUGAUGACGAGGCACUACGGUGCUGAAGCAACAAAUGCCCUGCUUCCAGGAAAAGCCUCUAAGCAUCAGGUAACAUCAAAUCGUACCCCAAACCGACACAGGUGGUCAGGUAGAGAAUACCAAGGCGCUUGAGAGAACUCGGGUGAAGGAACUAGGCAAAAUGGUGCCGUAACUUCGGGAGAAGGCACGCUGACACGUAGGUGAAGUGAUUUACUCACGGAGCUGAAGUCAGUCGAAGAUACCAGCUGGCUGCAACUGUUUAUUAAAAACACAGCACUGUGCAAACACGAAAGUGGACGUAUACGGUGUGACGCCUGCCCGGUGCCGGAAGGUUAAUUGAUGGGGUCAGCGCAAGCGAAGCUCCUGAUCGAAGCCCCGGUAAACGGCGGCCGUAACUAUAACGGUCCUAAGGUAGCGAAAUUCCUUGUCGGGUAAGUUCCGACCUGCACGAAUGGCGUAAUGAUGGCCAGGCUGUCUCCACCCGAGACUCAGUGAAAUUGAACUCGCUGUGAAGAUGCAGUGUACCCGCGGCAAGACGGAAAGACCCCGUGAACCUUUACUAUAGCUUGACACUGAACAUUGAGCCUUGAUGUGUAGGAUAGGUGGGAGGCUUUGAAGUGUGGACGCCAGUCUGCAUGGAGCCGACCUUGAAAUACCACCCUUUAAUGUUUGAUGUUCUAACGUGGACCCGUAAUCCGGGUUGCGGACAGUGUCUGGUGGGUAGUUUGACUGGGGCGGUCUCCUCCUAAAGAGUAACGGAGGAGCACGAAGGUUGGCUAAUCCUGGUCGGACAUCAGGAGGUUAGUGCAAUGGCAUAAGCCAGCUUGACUGCGAGCGUGACGGCGCGAGCAGGUGCGAAAGCAGGUCAUAGUGAUCCGGUGGUUCUGAAUGGAAGGGCCAUCGCUCAACGGAUAAAAGGUACUCCGGGGAUAACAGGCUGAUACCGCCCAAGAGUUCAUAUCGACGGCGGUGUUUGGCACCUCGAUGUCGGCUCAUCACAUCCUGGGGCUGAAGUAGGUCCCAAGGGUAUGGCUGUUCGCCAUUUAAAGUGGUACGCGAGCUGGGUUUAGAACGUCGUGAGACAGUUCGGUCCCUAUCUGCCGUGGGCGCUGGAGAACUGAGGGGGCUGCUCCUAGUACGAGAGGACCGGAGUGGACGCAUCACUGGUGUUCGGGUUGUCAUGCCAAUGGCACUGCCCGGUAGCUAAAUGCGGAAGAGAUAAGUGCUGAAAGCAUCUAAGCACGAAACUUGCCCCGAGAUGAGUUCUCCCUGAGACUUUAGGUCUCCUGAAGGAACGUUGAAGACGACGACGUUGAUAGGCCGGGUGUGUAAGCGCAGCGAUGCGUUGAGCUAACCGGUACUAAUGAACCGUGAGGCUUAACCUU
rnacentral:rRNA from 1 species